rnacentral:ncRNA from 1 species
AUUAUCCGAGGUGGGAAAGUUCGUUGCACCCACACGCCUUAAUGGUUAAAAGAGAUGUAACAGAAGCGACGGUUACUGGAUAGA